rnacentral:rRNA from 1 species
GCAGAGGGGCCCCUGCGGCCCCCUCUCGCGGCGUGCAAAAGGUCGGUGACCCACCCGACCCGUCUUGAAACACGGACCAAGGAGUCUAACAUGUGUGCGAGUCAUUGGGCUCACUAAACCCAGAGGCGCAAUGAAAGUGAAAGGAGGGUGCUCCUCGGAGCGCUCUCCGGGGCCGAUCCCUGACCGAGUGAGACGUGGCCGYGGCCGACCCACACCAAAGCGGGGCCGCUGAGGCGGCGCGCGGGGUGAGACCCUUUCCCCCGUUAGCGCCGUCGGCCUCGCGGGCGCCCGGCUCUCUCUCUGGUCCUCCGCCUGUACGCAGGGGGGCGCAGGCCCGGGACUUGCCACUCGACGCCGUCGCGCGAAUCUGUUGUUGGCCUCGCCGGCUCUGCUUGGGCUCUCGGUUGGCGUGCCGCGUGUCUUUGGGCGGGUCGUUGCGGGCGGGGCGGGCUCUCGCGGGCUCGUCCUUCCCCUCGGCUCGUCCGGCGCGGUUCCGCUCUCCGAUCCUGCUCUGUCCGGCGUGGCCUAGCGCGCGUGCUGUCGGCAAGUACCAUGAGCAGACAUGUUGGGACCCGAAAGAUGGUGAACUAUGCCUGGCCAGGAUGAAGCCAGAGGAAACUCUGGUGGAGGUCCGCAGCAAUUCUGACGUGCAAAUCGAUUGUCAGAGCUGGGUAUAGGGGCGAAAGACUA